CAAUCGAAUAAUCAGCACGGUUCGAGACGCUGCGUCUCGAUCAAAAAGGAACCGGGUGAGAAUCCCGAGCGGUCCCGCCGCUGUAAAAGCCUCAGCUUCUCCACGCGCCACUGUGAGCCUCGCGCUCAUGGGAAGGCGGAGAAGGCUCCAUGGGCUUGAGCCAGAAGACUUGCCGCGCUGAGCACGAAAAAG
rnacentral:ncRNA from 20 species